rnacentral:rRNA from 1 species
AUUGAACGCUGGCGGCAGGCCUAACACAUGCAAGUCGAGCGGAUGAAGGGAGCUUGCUCCUGGAUUCAGCGGCGGACGGGUGAGUAAUGCCUAGGAAUCUGCCUGGUAGUGGGGGAUAACGUCCGGAAACGGGCGCUAAUACCGCAUACGUCCUGAGGGAGAAAGUGGGGGAUCUUCGGACCUCACGCUAUCAGAUGAGCCUAGGUCGGAUUAGCUAGUUGGUGGGGUAAAGGCCUACCAAGGCGACGAUCCGUAACUGGUCUGAGAGGAUGAUCAGUCACACUGGAACUGAGACACGGUCCAGACUCCUACGGGAGGCAGCAGUGGGGAAUAUUGGACAUUGGGCGAAAGCCUGAUCCAGCCAUGCCGCGUGUGUGAAGAAGGUCUUCGGAUUGUAAAGCACCUUAAGUUGGGAGGAAGGGCAGUAAGUUAAUACCUUGCUGUUUUGACGUUACCAACAGAAUAAGCACCGGCUAACUUCGUG